ensembl:lncRNA
CAUUUUCCCAUGAGAUUGAGGAGAACGCACACUUCCACGAACGAUAUAUCAUCGAAGAGAUAUGUGAAAAACACCUUGAGGAUUGAUUCUAAACAACGUUUACCAUGUUUCAGUCGAUAUUAUGGAGUUAAUUUGGAAAAAAGUUCGGCGUUUUGAUGACUGAAUUUUCGUUUUUUUUUUUGUAGCCAAACGUGACGCACCAAACGGAGCGAUUUCUCCUAAACAAAUAAUCUUUCAGGAAAAACUGAACAUUUGCUAUCUAACUGAGAGUCUCCUCAUUGAAAACAUCUGAAGUUCUUCAAAGUUAACGUUGCGUUAUGGUAAUGAGCUUGAGGCUGUAUUCACGUUCCCGGAUCCGGGAUGGCUAGAAUCAAGAGGAACAUUUGCUGUCUAACUGGGAGUCUCGUGAGUGAAAACAUCUGAAGCUCAUCAAAGAUCCAAAUGGUACGUUCAGGCGUUUGGAAAUUGCUCCCAAAGAUGAACCAGACUUGUGGAGGUCUACAAUUUUUUUCCUGAGGUCUUGGCUGAUUUCUUUUGAUUUUCCCAUGAUGUCAAGCAAAGAGGCACUGAGUUCGAAGGUAGGCCUUGAAAUACAUCCACAGGUACACCUCCAAUUCACUCAAAUUAUGU